AGAUGCGGGGUAAACUACAUAAGCACAAAUGUGAAAGCCAAAGCAUGAAUACUUCCAUUUUUCAAUCUUUCAACUCAAAGUUACAUCAAAACUUGAUUCGAAUGUGUACCUGAUUACAACAAAUGGAACAAAUGAAGUGAGCUGAAAAAUGCAACAGCAGGAGUAGAAGCAGCAACGAAACAACAACAGCAGUAACAGGACUCCAAGACCAAAGCAGCUUAUACCAAACUUUCGAAUACCCAAAACUCAAACUAUUCUUUCCAGAUACAAGGAUUUGUGAUUUUUUUUUCCGUAAAAUUUAUAACUAAACCAGAAAGCAUAGACAACCAGAAAGAAACCAAUUUGGAGCAAUUUUCAAACGGGCCAAAAGUUCAGUCGGUGUUUUCAGUUUAUCUCUCUCUUUUGAAGUUUUUUGUUCUCCAGCCCCCUUUUCUUUUCAGUCCACACUCUGCUCCCCUUCAGUCUACUCUCUCCCCUCCUUUUCUUUGUUUUCUGGUUCUCUUUUUAUAUCUAUUAGAAGAGAAGAGCUCCCCCCCAAAGACAGGCUGCCCAUGGCUUAAAAUAAACCCUCAUGACUAUCAUUUUCACUUAGGAUCCUCUAGGCAUGGAGUUUUUUUUCCUAUUUUAAUCUUCUGAAGUUCAAAAGUGUAGUGAAUAUCCAACUGUACAGCAGGUUCCACUACCAUUCUCAUGUGCAUUUUCAGCUUUUUAUCAUCAAGCCCAUGUUGUUACUGAUUUCCAGCUACUAAAGGUACUUAACAUAUUAUCACCCCCACUAUUGAUCAAUUAAUUUCAUUAGUUUAAUUAAUAUUUUAGUACCCUAUUGUCAGCCCACUAACACUUAAACAUUUCAAAACUUCUAAACUCCAGAAUACCCCUGAAACUCCUGUGAUUUAUUGUAUUACCCUUAAGCUUAGAAGUCUGAGGUUAUAGCCUAUAUAGACUUACUCCUAAGACUGGUUUCAGGAUAACUUACAGUUCUACAGCUAUAUCCAAUUCAUUCAUUCAUUGAUUCAAUACUAAGUCAAACAGGGGAGUUAAUCCAAUGGCAUGAGUUGGUCAUAUUGGGAACCAAUCCUGACCAACUCAAAGCUAAAGGAUCAAGCAAGCAAUUGAGAAUGCAAACAAAGAUCAAAACGAAUACUGAAACCAGCAUACUGAUACGAGUUUUUCUUGACAUAGAGAAGAGGAAUCAUGCUAGAAAUUCUACUGGAAUGAGCAGACUUAUAUUUUCUAGUUUUUCAAGUGAGUUUAGUUGACGACACUUACUUAAUUGACCAUAUGAGCUACAACAGAUAGCUAACAAACAAUAAAAUAUAUCAAGCAGGUCGUCAGAUGGCUUUCAGUGAUUUCAGAUGCAACAGGGGAUUUUAACACGAACUUAACUAUCCUAUGAUUCUAAACAGGUUGGACACAUAAUUCACUGGUAAGUACAAGUAACAAACAAUCAGAAGAAAAAUGACUACAUAAAAGGUCUUAUGAAGACGGACAGAAUUGAAAGAAGAUGACAGAAAAAAUCAAACAAAUUAACUAAUCAUGCAAGCAAAUACAAGUAGAACACAAACAAGAACAGAAGGAAAAGAAACUUAUCUCGGAAGAUUAAGAACAAAACGAACCAGGCUCGAACUGGACUCGACCUCUUUUGAGGUCGAACGGAUUUUAAUCGAAGUGUUCUCAACUGAGAACACCUCGAUUAAGGUCUAUUAGACCUCAACCCUUCGUUUAAUUGGACAAACCCCCAGGUUUUGGAUUUCGAGGGUUCUUGGGGAUCAGAUUAGGGGUUCGAGUUUUUCUGGUUAGAUUCGAACCAAACCAGGCUUGGUUUGGUCACAAGGGAGGUCAGAGGAGUACCUGGUGUGCAUUAGGGGUGGAUCGGCAUAGGCUGAGGUUUGGCUCGAUUCGAGACGAUGGGGGAAGAUUUGAAACCAACGGUUUGCAGAUCCGUGUCCAGGGGGUCAAGGUGCACUAGGGGUGUUAAUCUGGUGGUCACCGGCAUCGUUGUCGCCGGGUUUAUGGUGAGGGGGUGGAGAGGCGGCGCGAGGGUUCUGAGGGGUGUUUGGGUUCAGUCUCUGAAAGAGACGAGGAUGAGGGAGGGGGUC
rnacentral:lncRNA from 1 species